CAGCCGCCACGGGAACACGAAGGGGGCUAGCGUUGUUCGGAAUUACUGGGCGUAAAGCGCACGUAGGCGGAUAUUUAAGUCAGGGGUGAAAUCCCAGAGCUCAACUCUGGAACUGCCUUUGAUACUGGGUAUCUUGAGUAUGGAAGAGGUGAGUGGAAUUCCGAGUGUAGAGGUGAAAUUCGUAGAUAUUCGGAGGAACACCAGUGGCGAAGGCGGCUCACUGGUCCAUUACCGACGCUGAGGUGCGAAAGCGUGGGGAGCAAACAGGAUUAGAUACCCCUGUAGUCCCUGUCUCUUAUAC
rnacentral:rRNA from 1 species